UCCGCUAUCGACGGCUUCACGUUGUAGAAGAUGAUCGUCUGCCCGCGCGCGUGGAAGUCUUCGAUCAGCGACUUGAUGCCCUGCGAACAUUACCAAGUUAGUUUAACGAACCAACUUCUUAGCAAAUCUUUGAUGAGUAUAUAUAUUUUG